rnacentral:rRNA from 1 species
AGUCACUGACAUUAGAUACCCGUGUAGUCCAGGGUGUAAGCGCUGCAGACUUGGUGUUGGAAGUCCUUUGGGGGCAUUCAGUGCCGGAGAGAAGUUGUUAAGUCUGCUACUUGGGGAGUACGUCCGCAAGGAUGAAACUUAAAGGAAUUGGCGGGGGAGCACCGCAACGGGAGGAGCGUGCGGUUUAAUUGGAUUCAACACCGUAAACUCACCAGGGAAGACUGUUACAUGAAAGCCGAGAUGAAGACUCUGCUAGAUUUUCAG